rnacentral:pre_miRNA from 1 species
AUGGUACUCCCUCCGUUCCGAAUUAUUUAUCAUACGUAUAGAUGUAUUUAGAUGUAUUUUAGUUUUAGAUACAUUCAUUUCAACGGCGAGUAAUUUGGGAUGGAGGGAGUACAAA